UGAAAACUUUGAAGAGAACAGCGUGCACCAGCAACGAAGCGUGGAGGCGACACACCGGCAGCGCGCUUUCUGCCUCCGGCAAGAUGGCUGCCGCUGGCGUCACCUGACGGGCGUCGCUUCCACUCCAGCAAGUUUUUAUAUCCUCCUUGGUCUUCACCUUGUUCGCACGUUGGAUGCUCCAGAUGGUAUUUGGAUGGAUGUCACGGCCGUCACAGCCGUGCAGCGACCAGCUGUUUAUUCAAGUUGAAAUGGAAGGUCAGCUAUUUUUUCAUAGAAAGUGUCAGCAGUGCUGAAUACGCAGUGCACAGAAAGCUCCAUCAUAUUGUACUAGUGCGGUUACAAAGAAGUACUGCUAGGCCACUGAGAAGAAUUUUCCAUUGAAAUACCUGCAAAUGUGCUGCUGCUUCUGCUUGGUGCUGCGAUCCUCAUAAUCACGCAUAACCGAUUUGCCGUCCAACAAAUGUUCCUACUGUGUUUUGUUGAAAAUUGGUGAAAGUGGUUGCCUAAGGGAUGACUUAUUGAAGAAGAGGACCUCAUGUUUUUUUUUCUUUUUCUAAAUGAGACAUACCCUGCUUAACAAAACUGAUGCAGCUGUUUCGGAUGUAAUAAAAGGAUGGCUGUGUUUGAUUCAGAUCAAGAAGGUGCACCUCUGCAAGAUGGCAUGCCAGUACGAUAGAUGACUUCAAGAGAAGCCCAAGCAACACUUCAGUUUGGAAAAUGGAAAAAUGGCAUAUUGCCCUCUAUAUAGUUUGUGUGAAAUAAACCUGCAGCACCAAAAA